rnacentral:rRNA from 1 species
AUGGUCCUACGGGGCGCAGCAGUGAGGAAUAUUGGUCAAUGGGCGAGAGCCUGAACCAGCCAAGUCGCGUGAGGGAGUACUGCCCUAUGGGUUGUAAACCUCUUUUGUCGGGGAGCAAAAGCCGGACGUGUCCGGCUGUGAGAGUACCCGAAGAAAAAGCAUCGGCUAACUCCGUGCCAGCAGCCGCGGUAAUACGUAGGGGGCAAGCGUUAUCCGGAUUUACUGGGUGUAAAGGGAGCGUAGACGGCUGUGCAAGUCUGAAGUGAAAUGCCGGGGCUCAACCCCGGAACUGCUUUGGAAACUGU